rnacentral:rRNA from 1 species
CCCUUAGAUGUUCUGGGCCGCACGCGUGCUACACUGAGUAAAUCAAUGGGUAAGGGAACACGAAAGUGCAACCUAAUCUUCAAAUUUGCUCGUGAUGGGGAUCGACGGUUGCAAUUUUCCGUCGUGAACGAGGAAUACCUUGUAAGCGCGGGUCAUCAUCCCGCGCUGAAUACGUCCCUGCCCUUUGUACACACCGCCCGUCGCUCCUACCGAUUGAGUGGUCCGGUGAGGCUUUGGGAUCUGAGCGGAAAGAGCGUUUCGCUGUUUCUGCUCGGAAAACUCAGUCGAACCUUAUCAUUUAGAGGAAGGAGAAGUCGUAACA